rnacentral:rRNA from 1 species
GAUGAACGCUGGCGGCGUGCCUAAUACAUGCAAGUCGAGCGAACGGACGAGAAGCUUGCUUUUCUGAUGUUAGCGGCGGACGGGUGAGUAACACGUGGAUAACCUACCUAUAAGACUGGGAUAACUUCGGGAAACCGGCGCUAAUACCGGAUAAUAUUUUGAACCGCAUGGUUCAAAAGUGAAAGACGGUCUUGCUGUCACUUAUAGAUGGAUCCGCGCUGCAUUAGCUAGUUGGUAAGGUAACGGCUUACCAAGGCAACGAUGCAUAGCCGACCUGAGAGGGUGAUCGACCACACUGGAACUGAGACACGGUCCAGACUCCUACGGGAGGCAGCAGUAGGGAAUCUUCCGCAAUGGGCGAAAGCCUGACGGAGCAACGCCGCGUGAGUGAUGAAGGUCUUCGGAUCGUAAAACUCUGUUAUUAGGGAAGAACAUAUGUGUAAGUAACUGUGCACAUCUUGACGGUACCUAAUCAGAAAGCCACGGCUAACUACGUG